GUGGGGAAUUUUGGACAAUGGGCGCAAGCCUGAUCCAGCCAUUCCGCGUGCAGGAUGAAGGCCUUCGGGUUGUAAACUGCUUUUGUACGGAACGAAAAGCCUCUGGUUAAUACCCGGGGGUCAUGACGGUACCGUAAGAAUAAGCACCGGCUAACUACGUGCCAGCAGCCGCGGUAAUACGUAGGGUGCGAGCGUUAAUCGGAAUUACUGGGCGUAAAGCGUGCGCAGGCGGUGAUGUAAGACAGUUGUGAAAUCCCCGGGCUCAACCUGGGAACUGCAUCUGUGACUGCAUUGCUGGAGGGCGGCAGAGGGGGAUGGAAUUCCGCGUGUAGCAGUGAAAUGCGUAGAUAUGCGGAGGAACACCGAUGGCGAAGGCAAUCCCCUGGGCCUGCACUGACGCUCAUGCACGAAAGCGUGGGGAGCAAACAGGAUUAGAAACCCGGGUAGUCC
rnacentral:rRNA from 1 species